CAAUAGCGUAUAUUAAAGUUGUUGCAGUUAAAAAGCUCGUAGUUGGAUUUCUGGUGGGAGUGACCGUUCCGAACUUGAUUGUUCGUGUAUUGUGUUUUCUCCAGCCAUCCUUGUGGAGAACUUUUCUUGCAUUAAUUUGUAGGGAUUGGGACCCGCAUCGUUUACUGUGAAAAAAUUAGAGUGUUUAAAGCAGGCAAUCGCUUGAAUACAUUAGCAUGGAAUAAUAAGAUAGGACUUUGGUACUAUUUUGUUGGUUUGCAUACCAAAUUAAUGAUCAACAGGAACAGUUUGAGGAUAUUCGUAUGAACAUGUCAGAGGUGAAAUUCUUGGAUUUUGAUCAGACGAACUACUGCGAAAGCAUUUAUCAAGGAUGUUUUCAUUAA
rnacentral:rRNA from 1 species